rnacentral:misc_RNA from 1 species
GAUGAAGAACGCCGCGAAAUGCGAUAAGUAAUGUGAAUUGCAGAAUUCAGUGAAUCAUCGAAUCUUUGAACGCACAUUGCGCCCGCCAGCACUCUGGCGGGCAUGCCUGUUCGAGCGUCAUUUCAACCAUCAAGCCCCCAGGGGCUUGUGCUGGGGCCCUGCGGCUGCCCGCAGGCCCUGAAAACCAGUGGCGGGCUCGCUAGUCACACCGAGCGCAGUAGCACAUCUCGCUCAGGGCGUGCGGCGGGCUCCUGCCGUGAAACCCCCCACUGUAACCCCAAAGGUUGACCUCGGAUCAGGUAGGAAUACCCGCUGAACUUAAGCAUAUCAAUAAGCGGAGGA